rnacentral:lncRNA from 1 species
AAUUUAAGUAGAAAGCCUGAUUUCACAUUUUGUACUAGCAUGCUUUUUAUACCGUUAGAUGGCUUGCCUCUAUGUGGCGUCCUCGCUUGACAAUGAAAUGUUACGUUAAGUUUGCUCGUUAAAAUUCUGAAUAUGACAGUGGAUCUAAAAAAUAGUUCAAAUCUUUCCUGUCCAAUUCAAACAAACAGUGGCAGUGAGAGCUAAUGAUAGCAAAAUAUUACAAAAUCUGUUGUCAAGCUAGUGUUGAGCAAAGAGAAGCAACAGAGAAUUUGCCAAAUGACGGGAUCUCUGUAAUCACUGAUUCUGGAUGUUUGAAGCAAGGUCCAGCUGUAGGAACAAGUUGGGCAAGAUAUAAAUGUUCUGUCAACAAGGCUAUUCAAUCGAGAAUCUAUUUUUCAGGUUUGACAAUUCAAACCUAAUUAAUCCUCAGGGAGGAUUAAUUAUCCCCCUACCUGUAAAGUCGUGUAAAGUCGUCCCCAGUUUCCGUCAGUUACGUAUAAGUGUGUAGUCUACAGGGCGGAUUUUGCUCUAAUACUGGCAAUUUUAUAUGAUAUUAUCUCAAACUAAUAAUAGUACAUAACAUUGCAUAUGCCGAACCAUAACGAAGUCGAUUACAUUCACUCUUUGCUCGCUAAGAAUUUUGUACUUGGCCCGACGUGACAAACUCGUGAUCUAUUAACAAGGAAUCAACUUAAACUGAUCCUUGUCGAUGAUCUGCUGUGACACUCUGGUAACUGGUAUGGCAGUUGAUGGAUGUGAAUGAAAAUUUGAAGAAAUGAGUUUUGGUAACAAUUAAAUAAGAAAACUAAGAUUUCUAUCUAAAACGUAAAUCGUCGUAAAACUGUUUUUAUUUUCUCUUAAAACACUAAAAUAUAGAAAACUAUUGACACA